CCUACGGGAGGCAGCAGUAAGGAAUAUUGGACAAUGCUCGCAAGAGUGAUCCAGCCAUGCCGCGUGCAGGAAGAAUGCCCUAUGGGUAGUAAACUGCUUUUGAACUAGAGAAAAUCCCAGUACGUGUACUGGGCUGAUAGUAUAGUUAGAAUAAGCAUCGGCUAACUUCGUGCCAGCAGCCGCGGUAAGACGAAGGAUGCAAGCGUUAUCCGGAUUCAUUGGGUUUAAAGGGAGCGUAGGUGGACUGAUAAGUCAGUGGUGAAAUCUCCGAGCUUAACUCGGAAAUUGCCAUUGAUACUGUUGGUCUUGAGUACAGUUGCUGUGGGCGGAAUAUGACAUGUAGUGGUGAAAUACAUAGAGAUGUCAUAGAACACCGAUUGCGAAGGCAGCUCACAAAGCUGUAACUGACACUGAGGCUCGAAAGUGCGGGGAUCAAACAGGAUUAGAUACCCUGGUAGUCCGCACCGUAACGAUGAUUACUGCNGNGAGGGCGACUUAGUGNGUAGNGAAGAGAGAGUAAUACACCGNGGAGUACGCCGCGACGAGAACGACGAAGAGAGUUAGACGGCGNGAGAGNGCGACGGACGACGACGAGGGGAGGUUAGG
rnacentral:rRNA from 1 species